rnacentral:tRNA from 1 species
GUGAGGGCAGGUUCAGUGGUAGUAUUCUCACCUUCUAUGUGGGACAUCCGGGUUCAAUUCCUGGCUUACACA